GUCUUCGUGGUGUAGUGGUCAGCCCGCUCGACGCGUAAUCGAGAGGUCCGUGGUUCGAUUCCCAGCGAAGGCA
rnacentral:tRNA from 1 species